UGUGCAGGCGGCUUUUAAGUUUGGUGUGAAAUCUCCCGGCUCAACUGGGAGGGUGCGCCGAAUACUGAAAGGCUCGAGUGCGGGAGAGGAGAGUGGAAUUCCUGGUGUAGCGGUGAAAUGCGUAGAUAUCAGGAGGAACACCGGCGGUGUAGACGGCUCUCUGGACCGUAACUGACGCUGAGACACGAAAGCGUGGGUAGCAAACAGGAUUAGAUACCCUGGUAGUCCACGCCCUAAACGAUGCACAUUUGGUAUGGGUCAUUCAGUUGAUCCGUGCCGGAGCUAACGCGUUAAAUGUGCCGCCUGGGGAGUACAGUCGCAAGGCUGAA
rnacentral:rRNA from 1 species